rnacentral:rRNA from 1 species
GGACGAACGCUGGCGGCGUGCCUAACACAUGCAAGUCGAGCGGAGUCGAUCGACGGAAGCCUUCGGGCGGAAGAUGGUUGACUUAGCGGCGGAUGGGUGAGUAACGCGUGGGCAACCUGCCUCGAAGACCGGGAUAACAGCCCGAAAGGGCUGCUAAUACCGGAUGUGGUCAAGGAUCCGCAUGGAUUUUUGAUUAAAGGGGAAACCCGUUUCGAGAUGGGCCCGCGUCCUAUCAGCUAGUUGGUGAGGUAAAAGCUCACCAAGGCGACGACGGGUAGCCGGCCUGAGAGGGUGACCGGCCACACUGGAACUGAGACACGGUCCAGACUCCUACGGGGGGCAGCAGUGGGGAAUCUUCCACAAUGGGCGAAAGCCUGAUGGAGCGACGCCGCGUGAGCGAAGAAGGCCUUCGGGUUGUAAAGCUCUGUCUGGAGGGACGAAGGAAGUGACGGUACCUCCGGAGGAAGCCACGGCUAACUACGUGCCAGCAGCCGCGGUAAUACGUAGGUGGCGAGCGUUGUCCGGAAUUACUGGGCGUAAAGGGCGGGUAGGCGGAUCUACGAGUUUUUUGUUAAAGGCUACGGCUUAACUGUAGUAAGGCAGGAGAUACUGUAGGUCUGGAAUGCGGUAGGGGAAGACAGAAUUCCUGGUGUAGCGGUGGAAUGCGCAGAGAUCAGGAGGAAUACCGAAGGCGAAGGCAGUCUUCUAGGCCGUAAUUGACGCUUAACUGCGAAGGUGUGGGGAUCAAACAGGAUUAGAUACCCUGGUAGUCCACACAGUAAACGAUAAUCACUAGAUGUCGGAUUCUAGAUGGAUUCGGUGUCGGAGCUAACGCGAUAAGUGAUUCGCCUGGGGAGUACGAUCGCAAGGUUGAAACUCAAAGGAAUUGACGGGGGCCCGCACAAGCGGUGGAGCAUGUGGUUUAAUUCGAGGCAACGCGAAGAACCUUACCCGGUUUUGACAUCCACGGGAGGCUUCAGAGAUGGAGCUGUGCCGGCGUAAGCUGGAGCCGUGAGACAGGUGCUGCAUGGCUGUCGUCAGCUCGUGUCGUGAGAUGUUGGGUUAAGUCCCGCAACGAGCGCAACCCUUGCCUUCAGUUACCAUCAUUAAGUUGGGGACUCUGGAGGGGCCGCUGCGGUAACAACGCAGAGGAAGAUGGGGACGACGUCAAGUCAUCAUGGUCCUUAUGGCCGGGGCUACACACGUGCUACAAUGGCAGUUACAGAGGGGAGCGAUUCAGUAAUGAGGAGCGAAACUCAGAAAAGCUGCCGCAGUUCGGAUUGAGGUCUGCAACUCGGCCUCAUGAAGUCGGAAUCGCUAGUAAUCGCGCAACAUCAUGGCGCGGUGAAUGCGUUCCCGGGCCU